AAUCAACGCUGGCGGCGUGCCUAACACAUGCAAGUCGAACGCGAAAGCCCCUUCGGGGGUAAGUAGAGUGGCGUCCGGGUGAGUAACACGUGGGUAAUCUGCCUUCGGGUGGGGAAGUAACCCACGGGAAACUUGGGCUAAUACCGCAUAAUGCAGCGGCACCUAAUGGUGAUUGGUUGUUAAAGCGGGGGAGUCGCAAGACCUCGCGCCUGAAGAGGAGCCUGCGGCAGAUUAGCUAGNGGUGAGGUAAUGGCUCACCAAGGCAUCGAUCUGUAGCUGGUCUGAGAGGACGGCCAGCCACACUGGCACUGACACACGGGCCAGACUCCUACGGAGGCAGCAGUGGGGAAUAUUGCGCAAUGGGCGGAAGCCUGACGCAGCCACGCCGCGUGGGUGAUG
rnacentral:rRNA from 1 species